AAGUGAAAUAUACUUCGUAUGUGAAAUAAUACUAUUGUAUUGUGAAAUUUUCUGCUUGCGCAGAAAGUGAAAUAAAAU
rfam:Ruminococcus sp. CAG:9-related_41_34 Ley3_66761_scaffold_2641, whole genome shotgun sequence.